GACGAACGCUGGCGGCGUGCCUAAUACAUGCAAGUCGAGCGAAUCAUUAGGAGCUUGCUCCUGAAGGUUAGCGGCGGACGGGUGAGUAACACGUGGGCAACCUGCCUGUAAGACUGGGAUAACACCGGGAAACCGGUGCUAAUACCGGAUAAUUCUUUUUCUCACAUGAGGGAAAGCUGAAAGUCGGUUUCGGCUGACACUUACAGUUGGGCCCGCGGCGCAUUAGCUAGUUGGUGAGGUAACGGCUCACCAAGGCGACGAUGCGUAGCCGACCUGAGAGGGUGAUCGGCCACACUGGGACUGAGACACGGCCCAGACUCCUACGGGAGGCAGCAGUAGGGAAUCUUCCGCAAUGGACGAAAGUCUGACGGAGCAACGCCGCGUGAGUGAUGAAGGCCUUCGGGUCGUAAAACUCUGUUGUUAGGGAAGAACAAGUAUCGGAGUAACUGCCGGUACCUUGACGGUACCUAACCAGAAAGCCACGGCUAACUACGUGCCAGCAGCCGCAGUAAAAC
rnacentral:rRNA from 1 species